rnacentral:lncRNA from 1 species
UAUAUGAUUUCAUAAUUAAUUGGAAGCUAGCUAUGCAUGUUGUAUGCAAAGAAUAUAGGCUGAACAAUAUUGUGGUAAUAAGGUUAGAAAAUAAGACAUUUAUAGGAGCACAUAGAGCUAAUAUGGCCUAUAAUUAGCUAGCUACAAAGGAAUGCGAAUGUUAUUAAAAUUAAUAUGAUUUGGUGUUGUAAUAAUAUAUUUAUGCUUUCAUAUUUAUUUGCAAUGGAAUGAAUGAG